rnacentral:rRNA from 1 species
GAAGUUGGAGUCGCUAGUAAUCGCAGAUCAGCAACGCUGCGGUGAAUACGUUCCCGGGCCUUGUACACACCGCCCGUCACGUCAUGAAAGUCGGCAACACCCGAAGCCGGUGGCCUAACCCUUGUGGAGGGAGCCGUCGAAGGUGGGAUUGGCGAUUGGGACGAAGUCGUAACAAGGUAGCCGUACCGGAAGGUGCGGCUGGAUCACCUCCUUU